GUGGGUGUAGCUCAGUUGGCAGAGCGCCGGACCGUGGCUCCGGAGGUCGAGGGUUCGAGCCCCUCUACCCACC
rfam:Atopobium vaginae PB189-T1-4 contig00027, whole genome shotgun sequence.